GGGCCAGACUCAAGAUGGCAAUGGCAGUUAACCCGCAAGCACCACCCAUCCUCUGCCGGGCACUGUCCCCAUCGGUCCUCACAACGCUCCCGCAAGGGAGGGACCAUCCUUAGGCCCAUUUUGAAGAUGAGGAAACUGAGGCACAGAGUGGCGCAGAGCCUUGCCGAGGCCACGCAGUGCCACGUGAGAGGACUUCACGCCGGCGAGCCGUCCCGCCCUGGCACCGCCACGCCACCUUCCCUGGUGGAAGCAGACCCAGGUGCUCUGAGUAAAAGUGUCUCUGUGUGUGAAGUGGAAAAGCAAAGCCCACCAGGUCAUUCACUCGUUCACUCCAGAAAUGCGUGUGGGACACCGUGUGGCGCUGGGGACAGAGCAGCCCCAGCCCAGCAGUGCCAGUGGGAAUGUGGCUGUGGGCUGGAGGCGUGAGGCUUGUGGUCCUUAGGACGGCCCGGGCACCUCUCCCCUCCCGAGGGCGGGGACCCCUCCAGCCGGCUCUCAGGCCCCUCAAGGUGACCACCGCAGGCGCCCAGGAGGGCUCUGCUACAGGCGCACUUGGAGGGACCGUCUUCCGAGUCUAUUCAAUAAAAUGGCUAAAGCCUGGGUCACCCCUUCAGGUAGCUUGCUGCGACCACCACAUGAUCGAGGACACUUUGCAGCAGACAAGGGCAAGCACCACAUGAGAGGAGAAGCCGCCAGCCUGAUUCAGACCCAGCGCAGAAAACAGCUCUUAGGCAGCGAUGCCAGAACCACCUUGUGACAAAAAACGACCGUCCCAGAAAAGUCUCUCUCUUCCUAGGCUCUGGGUGAGGGGCUCUCCAAGGCUUGGCACACCGGUGACAAACCUCUCCGCAAAGAGAGCUCAAGAGGAAUCUUCUGGGCUCGGCAGGCCAAGAGGCAAAUUCACGGUUAUCAUCAUGUGUGUGCUCAUAUAAUAGGAGAGAAAACAAAUCCCACACAUUUUCAUUGUUGUAAUAAUCGAGUCCUUUUUUUGGUAAUACAAAUCUAUGGAUAACAAGAAUGAAAUUUUCAUUUCUAGAAUAAUGCUUUGCUUCAUGGGGAUCAAAGUCGACGUUCCCUUUCAUCACACCCACUGCUGUCGUUCAUGCGGAAGGGCCGUCGUCCUCAGCUCAAGCACAAGGAGAAACGAAGCGGCCGCCGGGUUUGGCCUCCAGGCUGCUGUCUGAGCUUCCCGCGGCUGCUGGACACAUGGCCACAGGCUGAACGGCUCACAACAACACACGUUUAUUACUAUCUUCCACUUCUGGGGGUCAGAAAUCCAAAAUGGGUCUCGCUGGGCUAUAAAAUCAAGGUGUCAGCGGGGCUGAGUUCCAUCUGAAGCUCUAUGAGAAUCCAUUUCCAGAACUUUUCAGCUUCCAGAGGCCACCUGCAUCCCUCGGCUCAGGGAAGGCCCCCAGAAAUCACGUCACUGCGAUCCCUGCUUUCAUCAUCCUAUCUCUUGCUCCGAGUCACCUCUUUCCCGAGUAACGACAUGCAUGUCGUUAAUUGGGCCCAGCCGGGUAAGCCAGGACCAUGUCCCCGUCUCAAGAUCCUGCACACAGUCACACCUGCAGAGUCUGUUUCACCAGAUCUCAGAGCUGGUCAAACGGAGACCCGGGCGAGGUAUCAAUUCUCAGCCCCCACCAACACAUCGCUGUCUCCAUCAUCAUUUAGUCUACAUGGUAAGUUCUUGAAGGGCAGGGAACCCCCCCCCCCAACACACACCCAGCUAGCAAUGCCCGGCAGAGCACCUGCUGAACAGGAAAUUUCUGGUACAAAUUCUCAAAGUCAAUCAAUUCAGUGAUCAUCUAAUUAGCCCAAGGUGUAGAGAAUUAAAUGGAAAGCUUAACUGCAGAGUGAGGAUUCAUGCUAAUGUCUGGAUGUGAACAUAUGCAAACUGCGGGGACCACAUUGAUUCUGUGAAGACCCCAUUAACAAAGCCGCUAAACCCCCCUAGUGCCAGGGCUGCCUGACCCGGGUAGGGGCACCUCCCUGUGCUGGGUGUCAUGUGACCGAGGGGCCUGUGCAAACCAUCCAAGCCCAGCGGCCACUCUGCUGCUUGGUACUCAUCGUCUACUUGACAUUUUUCUCUUUCUUUUUCAACUCUGGGAGCAGGAGCAUGGGUGUCUCCCCAAACCAGGACGCAAGGGCCAGGCGAACGGGAGCCUCGUCUGUCCUGCUCUCAGCUGCGGCUGCAGCUCCUAGAACAGUGCCCGGCACCUAGCGGACGCUCAGCGAGUAUUUGUUGAAAGAAUGAGUGAACCAAGUGAAUAGAAUAAAGCCUCUUCUUCACAACUAAUGUCGACUAUAGAUCUAGAAACUCCCCCGUGGGCCUGAUGCAGUACAACCCCCCCGGGACAGGAAGGAGAAUAUUAGUACCUACCUCAUCCAGGGCUGAGACGAC